rnacentral:rRNA from 1 species
CCUACGGGGGGCUGCAGUGGGGAAUAUUGGACAAUGGGGGGAACCCUGAUCCAGCCAUGCCGCGUGUGUGAAGAAGGCCCUCGGGUUGUAAAGCACUUUCAGUGAGGAAGAACGCCUGGUGGUUAAUACCCAUCAGGAAAGACAUCACUCACAGAAGAAGCACCGUCUAACUCCGUGCCAGCAGCCGCGGUAAUACGGAGGGUGCGAGCGUUAAUCGGAAUUACUGGGCGUAAAGCGCGCGUAGGUGGCUUGAUAAGCCGGUUGUGAAAGCCCCGGGCUCAACCUGGGAACGGCAUCCGGAACUGGCAAGCUAGAGUGCAGGAGAGGACGGUGGAAUUCCCGGUGUAGCGGUGAAAUGCGUAGAGAUCGGGAGGAAUACCAGUGGCGAAGGCGGCCUUCUGGACUGACACUGACACUGAGGUGCGAAAGCGUGGGUAGCAAACAGGAUUAGAUACCCUAGUAGUC